AAUGAACGCUGGCGGCAGGCCUAACACAUGCAAGUCGAACGGAUCCUUCGGGAUUAGUGGCGGACGGGUGAGUAACGCGUGGGAACAUACCCAAAGGUACGGAAUAGCCUCGGGAAACUGGGAGUAAUACCGUAUGUGCUCGAAAGAGGAAAGAUUUAUCGCCUUUGGAUUGGCCCGCGUUGGAUUAGGUAGUUGGUGGGGUAAUGGCCUACCAAGCCGACGAUCCAUAGCUGGUUUGAGAGGAUGAUCAGCCACACUGGGACUGAGACACGGCCCAGACUCCUACGGGAGGCAGUAGUGGGGAAUCGUAGACAAUGGGGGAAACCCUGAUCUAGCCGUGCCGCGUGAUCGAUGAAGGCCUUAGGGUUGUAAAGAUCUUUCAGGUGGGAAGAUAAUGACUGUACCACCAGAAGAAGCCCCGGCUAACUCCGUGCCAGCCGCCGCCGUAA
rnacentral:rRNA from 1 species